rnacentral:rRNA from 1 species
AACGAACGCUGGCGGCAGGCUUAACACAUGCAAGUCGAGCGCCCCGCAAGGGGAGCGGCAGACGGGUGAGUAACGCGUGGGAAUCUACCCAUCCCUACGGAAUAGCUCCGGGAAACUGGAAUUAAUACCGUAUACGCCCUACGGGGGAAAGAUUUAUCGGGGAUGGAUGAGCCCGCGUUGGAUUAGCUAGUUGGUGGGUAAAGGCCUACCAAGGCGACGAUCCAUAGCUGGUCUGCGAGGAUGAUCAGCCACAUUGGGACUGAGACACGGCCCAAACUCCUACGGGAGGCAGCAGUGGGGAAUAUUGGACAAUGGGGGCAACCCUGAUCCAGCCAUGCCGCGUGAGUGAUGAAGGCCUUAGGGUUGUAAAGCUCUUUCACCGGGGAAGAUAAUGACGGUACCCGGAGAAGAAGCCCCGGCUAACUUCGUGCCAGCCGCCGCCGUAACAC